AGAUUGAACGCUGGCGGCAUGCCUUACACAUGCAAGUCGAACGGCAGCACGGGAGCAAUCCUGGUGGCGAGUGGCGAACGGGUGAGUAAUACAUCGGAACGUGCCCAAUCGUGGGGGAUAACGCAGCGAAAGCUGUGCUAAUACCGCAUAAGAUCUACGGAUGAAAGCAGGGGAUCGCAAGACCUUGCGCGAAUGGAGCGGCCGAUGGCAGAUUAGGUAGUUGGUGAGGUAAAGGCUCACCAAGCCUUCGAUCUGUAGCUGGUCUGAGAGGACGACCAGCCACACUGGGACUGAGACACGGCCAGACUCCUACGGGAGGCAGCAGUGGGGAAUUUGGACAAUGGGCGAAGCCUGAUCCAGCAUGCCGCGUGCAGGAUGAAGCCUUGGUUGUAACUGCUUUUUGUAACGGAACGUAAAGUCUACUUUCUAAUAAAGAGGAUCAUGACGUACCGUAAGAAUAAGCAACG
rnacentral:rRNA from 1 species